rnacentral:rRNA from 1 species
UGGGUAUUCUAGAGCUAAUACAUGCUAAAAGCCCCGACUUCGGAAGGGGCGUAUUUAUCAGAAUCAGAACCAAUGCCCUUCGGGGCUCCCUGGUGGCUCAUGAUAACUCCACAGAUCGCAUGGCCUUGCGCCGGCGAUGGCUCAUUCAAAUUUCUUCCCUAUCAACUUUCGACGGUACGGUCUUGGCCUACCGUGGUUGCAACGGGUGACGGAGGGUUAGGGCUCGACCCCGGAGAGGGAGCCUGAGAAACGGCUACCACAUCCAAGGAAGGCAGCAGGCGCGCAAAUUAUCCAAUCCCGACUCGGGGAGAUAGUGACAAUAAAUACCAAUACAGGGCUCUUUUGGGCCCCGUAAUUGGAAUGAGUACAAUUUAAACCUCUUAACGAGGAACAAUUGGAGGGCAAGUCUGGUGGACGUUCCAGUCCUAUGCUGGCGCCAGCAAGAGCGGGAAGGUGCGUAGCGGCCCGUAACGGCGCGCCUUCCGUCCCGCUAGUCGAGCAUCCGUCCAUGGCGGGAGGAUGCCGGCGAGACAACCUGGAUCGGGGAAGGCUAAGGGGCUCUGCCCUAUGCUAAUCCCGAGCAGAGCUGCCGAGGAGUGAUCCCCGGUGAGCCUGUGUAGAGCGCGCAAAGGUGUCGGUCGCACUGCGAUUUUCGCAGGCGGCUUAAGGUACGUGCCGGCCCCCGUGAAAGCGGGUUUCUGUCUGAAGCGCCCGCCACGCGAAGGACAGAAAGCUUGUCGUGACGCUGUCUAACCACACAGUCACGGCACGCGGGAAACAUGCAACAGCAUCGUUGGUUAUUCACAGUCGGGAAACAAAAUGACAAGGCUGGCUCCUUCCUGAUUCUCUUGACGCUCAGAGCUUGCCUUCCGAGAGAUGUGAUCUUGACUGUGUCAACGAUGUUGUGGUAUGAAACACGGCCAGCAGCCGCGGUAAUUCCAGCUCCAAUAGCGUAUAUUAAAGUUGUUGUGGUUAAAAAGCUCGUAGUCGAACCUCGAGCCCGGCCGGCCGGUCCGCCUCACCGCGUGCACUGGUCUGGCCGAGCUCUUCCCUCUGCGGAACCUCAUGUCCUUAACUGGGCGUGCUGGGGAGGCAGGACUUUUACUUUGAAAAAAUUAGAGUGCUCAAGGCAGGCCAAUGCUCGGAUACAUUAGCAUGGAAUAAUAGAAUAGGACGUUGGUUCUAUUUUGUUGGUUUCUAGGACCGCCGUAAUGAUCAAUAGGGACGGUCGGGGGCAUCAGUAUUCAGCCGCGAGAGGUGAAAUUCUUAGACCGGCUGAAGACUAACUACUGCGAAAGCAUUUGCCAAGGACGUUUUCGCUGAUCAGGAACGAAAGUUAGGGGAUCGAAGACGAUCAGAUACCGUCGUAGUCUUAACCAUAAACGGUGCCGACUUGGGAUCGGGCGCUGUUCUCUCUAGACGCGCUCGGCACCAUUCGAGAAAUCAAAGUGCGUGGGCUCCAGGGGGAGUAUGGCGGCAACGCUGAAACUUAAAGAAAUUGACGGAAGGGCACCACCAGGGGUGGAACCUGCGGCUUAAUUUGACUCAACACGGGGAAACUCACCAGGUCCGGACACAAUGAGGAUUGACAGAUUGAGAGCUCUUUCUUGAUUUUGUGGGUGGUGGUGCAUGGCCGUUCUUAGUUGGUGGGGUGACUUGUCUGCCUAAUCGCGAUAACGAACGAGACCUUGACUGCUAAAUAGCACGCGCCGCCUCGGCGGUGUCGCGGCUUCUUAGUGGGACUAUCGGCUCAAGCCGAUGGAAGUUCGAGGCAAUAACAGGUCUGUGAUGCCCUUAGAUGUCCUGGGCCGCACGCGCGUGACACUGACAGAGCCAGCGAGUUCUUCCCUUGGCCGGAAGGCCCGGGUAAUCUUGUGAAACUCCGUCGUGAUGGGGAUAGAGCAUUGCAAUUGUUGCUCUUCAACGAGGAAUCCCUAGUAAGCGCAAGUCAUCAGCUUGCGUUGAUUACGUCCCUGCCCUUUGUACACACCGCCCGUCGCUACUACCGAUUGAAUGGCUCAGUGAGGUUUUCGGACUGGCCCAGGAAGGCGGGAGACUGCUAUCCAGGGCCGGAAAGUUGCCCAAACUCGGUCAUUUAGAGGAAGUAAA